CGCAUGCGCCGCGAGGCCGGUACCCGGCAAUGGCUGGCGAGUUUGUAAGCUGGGCGCUGUUACCUUACCCUUUAGACGUGUUUAUUUGCUCAUUUUUUAAUCUUCGUGGAUGUGAACCUGCGUAUUUUGGGCUAUCAUGUUUUGUCCUCGGACUCCCGUUCGACGUGCUUUGUCGUUGUCUGGCCUUGCAUAUAGGCAGGUGUAGUAUAAGGCACAUGUCUUCUCUGAGCUCAGAGUGGACCCUGCAGUUUUAAAGCGCGAGCGCUGCUAUGUCCUGGGAAAGCAGAAGAUGGCCCAAGUCCUUGGGCCCCUGAACCCGUGUGCACAUGUGUGGGAGAGCCGGAAGAAGCUCCUGGCUUCAGAUCAGCCCAGCUCAUUGUUGCGGCCAGCAACAACUGAAAGUCCAUCCUGAUUCCAGACCCAGUUAAUAGUGACUACUGGAGGCCAGCAUCCCAUAUUGGUGCCGGUUCAAGUCUUGGCAGCUCCACUUCCAUCCAGCUCUUGGCUGUGGCCUGGGAAAGCAGUAGAAGAUGGCCCAAAUCCUUGGGCCCCUGACCCAUGUGGCAGACCCAGAAGAAGCUCCUGGCUCCUGGCUUCAGAUUGGCCCAGCUCCAGUCUUGCGGCCAACUAGGGAGUGAACCAGCGAAUGGAGGACCUCUCACUCUCUAUCUCUCUCUGCCUCUUCCUUCUCUCUCUGUGUAACUCUGACUUCCACAUAAAUAAAUCUUUUAAAGA